GGACCUCCUCCUCGGCCGUGUUCUUCCUCGCCUCCCACCCACGCCCUUGGUUUCGUGUCCACGAUUCAGACACCGUGGUGGCGACUUGCCCGGCGGCGGCUCCUCUCCAUCCGCCCCCACUCUCGCCCUCCGCCUUCCCCAACAGAAGACACCACGCGAUGGAGAUGGCAGUGGCUGCACUCACGCUCCUGUUCCUCAGCCAUCUGAGUGGCCUUCUUGGAUUGAUUGUCUGGUGGCGGCGUGGUGUUAUUGGUUUGCUCAACAUUCGCCAUCAUUUCAUCAAUUCACAGCAGUGGCUAUUGGUUCGGCCCUUCUGCUCAUGCGAAUCUGUGGAUCGAUUGAUACGCAGGACUAAAACAAUUUUAAGUUUACUCAGGAUCCAGCCUACGCGCAUGAUCUAGCCGAGGCGGGGGGCGCUCGAUCCAAUUCGACGCGGGGGCAAUCCAUCGCAGCAAGGGGGAAAUGGAGGGAUGCGGGUGUUGCAAGCCGACGCUUCAUCUGAUCGAAACUGCUCUGCUCAUAUUUGAAGGCCGCAGUCAUUAUACGGUUACUCUGCACAAAUUCAUGGCAGGGGAUGUCCUAUCCUUUCCGCUGCCUCACGGUACAAAUCACUUGUGCAUACAGUGUGGGGCUCGCCAAUCGAUGCGGAGAAGAUCUCACCGGCCGAUGCAGGGAAGUUCAUCCGCCGUUUUUCAAGCGAGGAGUAAAGUGCUCGCUUGUUUUGUAUAUAUCAAUUAAUGGCAGUCGAGGGAGCGAUGGUGACGGAUGGUGGAGGUGCGGUACAAUUUUGCUCUGGUUAUGGUAUAUUGUUUGGGGACUAUUCAAGGCUGGUUCUGGAAUUUUAUUUGAAGAGAUAUUGAUGGGUUGACUAUUUGCAAUGGCAAUCAGGUCUUUUACUAUUAGGCCAACAACAAGCGCAGGCUGCACGCCGCGAGCACUGAGCGCAGUCGAUGAGCUCGCCGCCUGUUGAAACUCCGUUGCUGAACAUGUAUGGUGACCUUAAUAUAUAUCUCACAAACUACAUCAUGAUUGGUCUCCGCCCUUGGAAGCCCUUGGGAAGUCAUCAAACGAGGCAUCUCAUCUAUCCUUAGCAUCAGCAUAGCAAGGACGAUGAAGUGGGUUUGAGCCAAGACCUCUAAUGAUGUUUCUACUUCUCUUUCUUCAAGUGCCUUCAUCUGGUGGGCAUAAGUAGUCUUAGUAUUGUACCUGGUAUUGAUAUCCAGUUUCAAUGCUUUAGCAUUUUUGUUUCAAACAUUUUGAAAUGACUUAUAAAACACAGAACACCCUCAAGGAACAUGUUCAUGCAA